GCCUUGAUAGUGUAGUGGUUAUGUUGCCUCAGUUUAUGUAAGUCAUACCUGAGGUAUGCCGGAGGACGUCAUGAGUUCGAAUCACGCUCGACGCA